UCUAACAUGUGCGCGAGUCAUUGGGCUCUGCGAAACCUAAAGGCGAAAUGAAAGUGAAGGCUGGCUUGCCAGCUUAGGGGUGAUGGCCGUUCCUUAACCGGGCGGCCCGCAACCCCGGGGCGUCUCAUUCUCUUUGAGAAGUGGCGCACCCAGAGCGUACACGUUGGGACCCGAAAGAUGGUGAACUAUGCGUGGCCAGGACGAAGUCAGGGGAAACCCUGAUGGAGGUCCGUAGCGAUUCUGACGUGCAAAUCGAUCGUCGGAGCUGCGUAUAGGGGCGAAAGACUAAUCGAACCAUC
rnacentral:rRNA from 1 species